rnacentral:rRNA from 1 species
CAAUAGCGUGUAUUUAAGUUGUUGCAGUUAAAAAGCUCGUAGUUGGAUUUCGGUUAAGAGCGACCGGUCCGCCGUUUGGUGUGCACUGGUUGGUUUUAACUUCCUGUAGAGGACGUGCUCUGGGUUUAACGACCUGGACUCGGAGUCUACGUGGUUACUUUGAAAAAAUUAGAGUGUUCAAAGCGGGCUUACGCUUGAAUAUUUCAGCAUGGAAUAACACUAUAGGACUCCUGUCCUAUUUCGUUGGUCUCGGGACGGGAGUAAUGAUUAAGAGGAACAGUUGGGGGCAUUCGUAUUUCAUUGUCAGAGGUGAAAUUCUUGGAUUUAUGAAAGACGAACUUCUGCGAAAGCAUUUGCCAAGGAUGUUUUCAUUAA